rnacentral:ncRNA from 2 species
UGCCGGUUUGCGGGAGAGACCAGCGAGAGCUGGCGCCGAAGGGGAAAUCGCCCGAAAUCUCUCAGGCAAAAGAACCGUAGACCGGAU